UACGUAGGCAGCAAGCGUUGUUCGGACUUACUGGGCGUAAAGAGUGUGUAGGCGGUGCUCUAAGUCUGUUGUGAAAUCUCCCGGCUUAACCGGGAGGGUGCGGCGGAAACUGGAGUGCUUGAGGGUGGGAGAGGUAAGCGGAAUUCCUGGUGUAGCGGUGAAAUGCGUAGAUAUCAGGAGGAACACCUGUGGUGUAGACAGCUUACUGGACCACUUCUGACGCUGAGACACGAAAGCGUGGGUAGCAAACAGG
rnacentral:rRNA from 1 species